rnacentral:rRNA from 1 species
GACGAACGCUGGCGGCGUGCUUAACACAUGCAAGUCGAACGGUGAAGCUCCAGCUUGCUGGAAUGGAUCAGUGGCGAACGGGUGAGUAACACGUGAGCAACCUGCCCCUGACUCUGGAAUAAGCGCUGGAAACGGCGUCUAAUACUGGAUACGAGAAGGGUCCGCAUGGGCACUUUCUGGAAAGUUUUUCGGUUGGGGAUGGGCUCGCGGCCUAUCAGCUUGUUGGUGAGGUAAUGGCUCACCAAGGCGACGACGGGUAGCCGGCCUGAGAGGGCGACCGGCCACACUGGGACUGAGACACGGCCCAGACGCCUACGGGAGGCAGCAGUGGGGAAUAUUGCACAAUGGGCGAAAGCCUGAGGCAGCGACGCCGCGUGAGGGAGGACGGCCUUCGGGUUGUAAACCUCUUUCAGCAGGGAAGAAGCGAAAGUGACGGUACCUGCAGAAGAAGCACCGGCUAACUACGU